rnacentral:lncRNA from 1 species
UCUGGACCGUAGUGGCUGCCAUUCAGGCUGUAGAGAGGAAGGUGGAUGCCCAGGCUAGCCAGCUGCUGAACUUGGAGGGACGCACAGGCACAGCCGAGAAGAAGCUGGCUGACUGUGAGAAGACAGCUGUGGAGUUUGGUAACCACAUGGAGAGCAAAUGGGCCGUGCUGGGGACCCUGCUGCAGGAGUACGGGCUGCUCCAACGUCGGCUGGAGAACCUGGAGAACCUGCUUCGAAACAGGAACUUCUGGGUCCUGCGGCUGCCCCCUGGCAGCAAGGGGGAGGCCCCCAAGGGCCCUAGUUUCAUUCCCAAUAUGGAAAUUGAGGCUCACAUCCACUGCAACACCAUUUCCAGAGGAUCCUUGCCGCUCUUCAGGCCUUUGUCAACACUGCAAGCUCAUGGUCCCAGUGACCUUCGUCGACAUUGCUGUUUACUUCUCUGAGGACGAAUGGAAGAACUUGGACGAAUGGCAGAAGGAGCUCUACAGCAAUCUGGUGAAGGAGAACUACAAAACCCUGAUGUCCCUGGACACGGAUGGCCCAGUGUCCAAGCCAGAUGCUCCAGUGCAGGCAGAACCCAGGGAAGAGCCUUGUGUGUGGGAGCAGCAUCACCCUGAAGAGAGAGAGAUCCCAGGGACUGCAGACACAGGAACAGAGCCUCUGGUGCCUGCACAGGACAUGUCCUCCCAGGUGAAGCGAGAAGAAGCCAUGUGUGUUCGGAGCCAGCGGAGC